rnacentral:rRNA from 1 species
AUUGAACGCUGGCGGCAGGCUUAACACAUGCAAGUCGAGCGGAGAGAGGUAGCUUGCUACUGAUCUUAGCGGCGGACGGGUGAGUAAUGCUCAGGAAUCUGCCUAUUAGUGGGGGACAACAUUUCGAAAGGAAUGCUAAUACCGCAUACGUCCUACGGGAGAAAGCAGGGGAUCUUCGGACCUUGCGCUAAUAGAUGAGCCUAAGUCGGAUUAGCUAGUUGGUGGGGUAAAGGCCUACCAAGGCGACGAUCUGUAGCGGGUCUGAGAGGAUGAUCCGCCACACUGGGACUGAGACACGGCCCAGACUCCUACGGGAGGCAGCAGUGGGGAAUAUUGGGCAAUGGGCGGAAGCCUGAUCCAGCCAUGCCGCGUGUGUGAAGAAGGCCUUAUGGUUGUAAAGCACUUUAAGCGAGGAGGAGGCUAUUUUAGUUAAUACCUAGAGAUAGUGGACGUUACUCGCAGAAUAAGCACCGGCUAACUCUGUGCCAGCCGCCGCAGUAACAC